rnacentral:rRNA from 11 species
UUUAUAUUUUAUUUUUAUUAUUUUAUAUUUUAUUUUACUUAUUAUAUAUUCUAGUUUUUUAAUAACAACUAUUUGAAACUAAUACUUGUUUUGGUAAUCAUUACAAAAACUUAUUAUAUAAAUCGUAUUGGUGCGGGCAAAGAGGGGGAUAUCAAACAACCCUGGGGGGUCCACUCUGGCCAUAGGGGAUAACCCUUAUGUCUCAAUUACGAUGAUGCUGUUUCUCACAAACGCCCCUAGGAUGUUGCAGAGGGAGAGAUUCCUAGCAGGGUGAGUGGCUAUAGGAUGGCAUUGGUAAGCGGUCCAGAACCUAAGAUGUAUGGUUCUCCCUCGCUUGGCACACCAAAGGAGAUAUAGCUCUGUCAUGGAUGUUCUGACGACAGAAUUAGACUGUCCCAACAGGUUGAAAUCGAAGAACAGCUGGACCAGGUGGAGGAUAGGAUUGUUGAAAUGAGUAGAGCGGGAUAUGGUAGAUGCAAACCGGCCAGAUGCCGGGUGAGUCAACUCCUCCCAGGCCUCCUGGGGGUUAAAGGCAACAUGCCUGUGGGGAAUUCCCCUUUCUCUGGCUCUCCACUCUGGCCCAAUGGCCUCCUCCAAUGUAUACAUCCCUAGCCUCACUGCCCACUCGACCAAACUCAUUCUUACCUCCCUUCCAAACACUCUAAACGACAUAGACUCUUCAUCCAGAUCAGUAGUAAAUUGAAACCUGAAUGUAGUAAAGAAUUACUUUGCUAGCCUAACAGGUAUAGCAGAAUCCCGAUUCUCCAACAGCCAAUUGAAACCCAAGACACGCAUGUAUGAUAGGAAAGACUCACGAGCAGCUAACUCAUCCAGAGAGGGAAGAUGUAAUACCUUGCCGCAUUUUAUCUGCUUGAUCCCAUCUUCUUUGUCAUCGAAUGAGUCUUGCAGUUGCUGAGUGUUGUAUUGCUUCAUGUCUUCCAUCAAGUCAUCGUCAAGAUGGACUUGCCAUGGCCGUUAUACCACUCUCUCCACCGGAGGAUGAAUCAACUCACGGUGGUUGCUAGGAAGCUGGUGCUCGUCCAUUUCUUCAUCCUCCAGUGAAACGUCGCUCUCGAAAUCAGACUCCUCACUCAAGAGGUAAUCACUGUCAUCGUCUCUCCGCUGCCUUGUUCUCCUCUCGGAUUCUCUGAUGACUACCCCUGUAUCGUCCAUGCGGGGUUUCUUGCUGCUUUUCUUCGGCUGCUGAUACGGUCGGAUUUUGCACUAUUUUAAGGCCAUUAUUUGGUCCGUUUUUAAUGUCAAAGUCACUCUACAUGUCCAUUAUUUGCAUAUUUUGUCUAUUUUGGUAUUUUGACGUGUUUUGU